rnacentral:rRNA from 1 species
UAUAUGGUCAAGAAGAGAAGCGCAAACGGUGGAUGCCUUGGCAGUAAGAGGCGAUGAAGGACGUGGAAUUCUGCGAAAAGCUCUGGGGAGUUGAAAUCAAGCGUUAAUCCAGAGAUGUCCGAAUGGGGAAACCCGGCCUUAUGGAAAUAAGGUCAUCGUUAACUGAAU